rnacentral:lncRNA from 10 species
CUUUAUCAUCAUCGUCAUGACAAUAUCAGCUGAUAGAUAUCCAGCUGUUUUCAGUGUGCCAAAUUCUGGGCCAAGUUUGCUAUAAAAACGAUGCCACUGAACCCUAACAAUGCCCUAAGAGAUAAACAUUAUCACCAUCCUGUUUUAUAAAUGAGGAGCUGGGGCUCACAGCUGUCCAGCGACUCCCAGCACCCAGGGCUAGCAAGCUACAGCUCUGGGCUGCCAGACACUAAAGCCAAGCCCACAUCACUGCACUGGGUUGCAGUGUUCUAUUCCACACGCCAGAAUUCUAGAUUGUUUGAGUUUGUUACAAACACACGUAUCUUUGUAACUAGAAAAUAAAGAUUUAAGGCCGGACGCAGUGGCUCAAGCCUGUAAUCCCAGCACUUUGGGAGGCUGAGGAAGGAGAAUUGCUUGAACCUGGGAGGCGGAGGUAGCGGUGAGCCGAGAUUGCGCCAUUGCACUCCAGCCUGGGCAACAAGAGCAAAACUCCGUCUC